AUUGAACGCUGGCGGCAGGCCUAACACAUGCAAGUCGAACGGUAACAGAAAGCAGCUUGCUGCUUUGCUGACGAGUGGCGGACGGGUGAGUAAUGUCUGGUAAACUGCCUGAUGGAGGGGGAUAACUACUGGAAACGGUAGCUAAUACCGCAUAACGUCGCAUGACCAAAGAGGGGGACCUUCGGGCCUCUUGCCAUCGGAUGUGCCAAGAUGGGAUUCGCUAGUAGGUGGGGUAACGGCUCACCUAGGCGACGAUCCCUAGCUGGUCUGAGAGGAUGACCAGCCACACUGGAACUGAGACACGGUCCAGACUCCUACGGGAGGCAGCAGUGGGGAAUAUUGCAGAAUGGGCGCAAGCCUGAUGCAGCCAUGCCGCGUGUAUGAAGAAGGCCUUCGGGUUGUAAAGUACUUUCAGCGAGGAGGAAGGUGUUGUGGUUAAUAACCACAGCAAUUGACGUUACUCGCAGAAGGAGCACCGGCCAACUCCGUGCCAGCAGCCGCUGUAA
rnacentral:rRNA from 1 species